GACGAACGCUGGCGGCGUGCCUAAUACAUGCAAGUGGGACGCAAGGGAACACACUGUGCUUGCACACCGUGUUUUCUUGAGUCGCGAACGGGUGAGUAACGCGUAGGUAACCUGCCUAUUAGCGGGGGAUAACUAUUGGAAACGAUAGCUAAUACCGCAUAAUAUUAAUUAUUGCAUGAUAAUUGAUUGAAAGAUGCAAGCGCAUCACUAGUAGAUGGACCUGCGUUGUAUUAGCUAGUUGGUAAGGUAAGAGCUUACCAAGGCGACGAUACAUAGCCGACCUGAGAGGGUGAUCGGCCACACUGGGACUGAGACACGGCCCAGACUCCUACGGGAGGCAGCAGUAGGGAAUCUUCGGCAAUGGACGAAAGUCUGACCGAGCAACGCCGCGUGAGUGAAGAAGGUUUUCGGAUCGUAAAGCUCUGUUGUAAGUCAAGAACGUGUGUGAGAGUGGAAAGUUCACACAGUGACGGUAGCUUACCAGAAAGGGACG
rnacentral:rRNA from 1 species